rnacentral:other from 1 species
GCCGACCUGCCAAGUUGGUGAUGGUGGUAACCGAUUUUUGAACCAACACCGAAUGAACGGGGGCCUGACUCGUAAUCGAUCCGGUGUGCAGUGCUCCGCCAUGCGGAGAUGCCUAAAGGGUCGCGGCGGGUUCCCAUCGUCUAACGACGGGUUCAUUCUCGGCCUACCACACGGCAUAGCGGGUCGGCU